rnacentral:rRNA from 1 species
GACGAACGCUGGCGGCGUGCUUAACACAUGCAAGUCGAACGCUGAAGCUUGGUGCUUGCACUGGGUGGAUGAGUGGCGAACGGGUGAGUAAUACGUGAGUAACCUGCCCUUGACUCUGGGAUAAGCCUGGGAAACUGGGUCUAAUACUGGAUACGACAUGUCACCGCAUGGUGGUGUGUGGAAAGGGUUUUACUGGUUUUGGAUGGGCUCACGGCCUAUCAGCUUGUUGGUGGGGUAAUGGCUCACCAAGGCGACGACGGGUAGCCGGCCUGAGAGGGUGACCGGCCACACUGGGACUGAGACACGGCCCAGACUCCUACGGGAGGCAGCAGUGGGGAAUAUUGCACAAUGGGCGGAAGCCUGAUGCAGCGACGCCGCGUGAGGGAUGACGGCCUUCGGGUUGUAAACCUCUUUCAGCACGGAAGAAGCGAAAGUGGCGGUACGUGCAGAAGAAGCGCCGGCUAACUACGUG